GCCAUUCAUCAGACGAGAAACAUCACUGCAACAGCAACAGCGACGAGGAACGUCUUCAUGACGAGUUCUCUGGAUCCCUUGAGGUUGGACUUCUUGCAUUGUCACACUCUUUUCAACAUUCUUUUAUUUUCAGGACCUUGUCGGCAACUUUGACGAAAAAAUUGCGGCAUGCCUGAAGGACCACGAGGUGACGACAGCGGAUAUUGCACCUGUGCAGAUACGUACUCAAGAGGAAGUUAUGAAUGAAAGCCAGUGAGUUUUUUGGAUUUUAUUUGUGGAUUUAAAAAAAUUGGUUGAAAAAUUAAAAUUUGGGAUCUAAAAUUAUUUUGUUAAAGUUCCAUAAAUCGUAAAAAUUCAUAAUUCUGUUCAGAAUAGCACCAAAAAAUUGUAGUUAAAUCCAAUUUUUUAAAUUAAAAAGUAAACUAAUUUAUAGCCUUUUUUCAUAAAAAUUAGUGAAAAAUGGAGCAAUUUUGAAAUAAUUUCUACUUUGGAACGAAUUAAAAAAAACUAGCCCGAAAAAAAGCCAUGUGUCGAUUUACGCAGUUCGUGUAAUCCGCAACUAGGACAAUUUUACAGUUUUUGGAUAAUAUUCUUAGUUUUUGACUAUUUUCGCAAGUUCUUUUUGUAUUUAUCAUUCAAAUUGUUAAUUUUCUCGCUUUCCAACUUCAAAUGACAAUUUUCGUAGCAAAGGUCUCGCCCCGCGGAUAAGUAAUUACUGUCACUUCUGUCAAUCGUCAGGUUUUUUUAAAAUUCUUAUUUAGAUUAAAAUUCACUUUUUUUCAACUCAAGCUACAGUAAUUCGUUAUCCGCGUGGCGAGUGAGGUAUAACAAAAAAUCUCCAUAGUUGAAGUAAAUUUAGAUCCUUUUCCCGAAAACGCUAUAAAUCAGAAACGGCUCGAAAAUUUGAAUUCAAAAGUUUUUUCGAAACAGCAGUAAAACCCUCCUCGUCGUGGACUUCACGAGCUGCGUAAAUCGACACAUAAAGUUAUAGUCAUUAUUACAUAGAGUGCCUAUAAACACAGAAAACAUAUUAUUUUCUUCUAAAAAUAAGAAAAAUGGCCAAAACUCUCAACUAUUUUUUUAAGAAUUCAAAAAAAUUCGAAAUAUAGUGAAAACGAGCAUUUUGGAUUUUUUUUUAAAAAUUAGUAGUAAAACAUAAAAAAUUUGUUUUUGAGUUUUUCCAAAAAUUAAGAAAUUUCUAAAAUUGCAGAACAUGGUGGACAUUAACCGGAAACUUUGGAAACAUUCAACCUCUCGACUUUGGAACCUCUUCGAUAUGUAAAAAGAUGGCCGCAGCUCUGGACAGUGAUUCAUUG
rnacentral:sRNA from 1 species